rnacentral:rRNA from 1 species
AGCUUGCUAGAUGCUGACGAGCGGCGGACGGGUGAGUAAUGCAUAGGAAUCUGCCCGGUAGUGGGGGAUAACCUGGGGAAACCCAGGCUAAUACCGCAUACGUCCUACGGGAGAAAGGGGGCUCCGGCUCCCGCUAUUGGAUGAGCCUAUGUCGGAUUAGCUAGUUGGUGAGGUAAUGGCUCACCAAGGCAACGAUCCGUAGCUGGUCUGAGAGGAUGAUCAGCCACAUCGGGACUGAGACACGGCCCGAACUCCUACGGGAGGCAGCAGUGGGGAAUAUUGGACAAUGGGCGCAAGCCUGAUCCAGCCAUGCCGCGUGUGUGAAGAAGGCCCUCGGGUUGUAAAGCACUUUCAGCGAGGAAGAACGCCUAGUGGUUAAUACCCAUUAGGAAAGACAUCACUCGCAGAAGAAGCACCGGCUAACUCCGUGCCAGCAGCCGCGGUAAUACGGAGGGUGCAAGCGUUAAUCGGAAUUACUGGGCGUAAAGCGCGCGUAGGUGGCUUGAUAAGCCGGUUGUGAAAGCCCCGGGCUCAACCUGGGAACGGCAUCCGGAACUGUCAAGCUAGAGUGCAGGAGAGGAAGGUAGAAUUCCCGGUGUAGCGGUGAAAUGCGUAGAGAUCGGGAGGAAUACCAGUGGCGAAGGCGGCCUUCUGGACUGACACUG